rnacentral:rRNA from 1 species
CUAAGCACCACUAAGACCGCUCCUCCGCCAGAACAUUACGAGCGAAAGCCUAAAACUCAAAAGACUUGACGGUGUCCCAACCUUCCUAGAGGAGCCUGUUCCAUAAUCGACAACCCACGUUAUACCUAACCACUUUUAGAACCAUCAGCCUAUAUACCGCCGUCACUCAGCCUACCUUUUAAAAGAACAUAAAUGGGCUAAAUAGUAGUAUACUAACAAGUCAGGUCAAGGUGUAGCUUAUAAAGUGGUGGCAAUGGGCUACAUUAUUUAUACUAAACAACACGAACUUAUACCCCUGAAAAAGAAAAUGAAGGCGGAUUUAGCAGUAAUUUAAACAAGAAUACUUAAAUUAACACCAGCUCUGGGACAUGU